GAUUACAGAAGCAGGAAAGGGAUUGGUGCUCGCGGAGGGUACUGGAGGCAGAGCGCAGGGGAACGGAGAGGCAGGAGGCUGCACAGGGAUUCUGGGCCCACAAGGGUCUGAGGCUCUAGCGUCCGGUCGGUCGCCCUGUGGGAGAAGGUAGUUGGGUUCUAGCACCCGCCUGGGAGUCUUAGACUUCCACUGCUUAGAUGAUACAGAGCCAUGGAAAGGUUCUAUUUUAUUUCUUAAGAUUUUAUUUAUUCAUUCAUGAGAGACAGAGAGAGAGAGGCAGAGACCCAGGCAGAGGGGGAAGCGGGCUCCUCGUGGGGAGCCCCAUCGGGGACUUGAUCUCAGGACCCCGGGAUCACGCCCUGAGCCGGAGGCAGAUGCUCAGCCACUGAGCCACGCAGGCGCCCGAAGGAAAGGUCUUAAACGAGCAGGUCUGUGAAAGAGGGAAGCCUGGCUUUCUUGUUGGUGGCUGUACCCAGACGGCACACUGGUGUUCAAUAAAUGCACGGUGAAUGGAAAAGAGUUAAGGACACUGAAAAGCCUAUGAUGGAAACCAUCAGGGCCAUGAAAAAGCUGUAUCACUAAGGAUGUCCACUGCAGUAUCAAUCAUCAAAACAAAAAGUCAGAAGCACCCUGAUCUAAGAGCAGCAGAUGUCUGAAGAACUUCUGGUAGUUCCUCUCAUGCUUAUGAUGAUAUGGGAUCCAUUUAUUCGUUGGAGCCUUCUUCAAGCAACAGAUGUUCCUCUGGUCUUCUAUCUCUGAGCUCCAAAGAAAGGUGUGGACAAUCUGGAAAGUCUACCGGUUCAAACCAGAAUCCUUUCCUAGCUGAGGUUUUGGCGUUGAGAAGAUGGGUGGCAAAUAGUUAGCUGGCAUUGGGGUUGGGCUUCUGGGGAGGAGGCUUUGUCUAGGAUGGUGAUCGCAGGGUUGUAGCUGCGUAAUCACAUCAUUAACAGCCAUCCGAUAUUAUUGAAAACAAAGUCAUUAUUAUGAUACUUUAACAGUCUCAAGCCUGAAACCACUCUUAGUCUAAUUCAAUAAAUAAGCUACUUGAGUAUAGAAAGUCACAAGGAAGAACAGAUUUUGUGUCAUAUUAGCAAAUUUGAUUUUCAUUAAUGCAAGAUGAAUAUCUUCUAUGAAACACUUUCAUAUCAUAUUAAUGACAUGAUAGCAAACAGCAUUCAUGAGUUGCUAGGCAACACGAGGACCCUCUAAUGAUCUCCUCUGUACUUGAGAGGCCACAAAGGGAAGAUGCCAGAGCUCUGAGGACAUUUCCCAUUUCUUGGCAACUAUUUCUUCUGGAAGACCACUGUGGGGCUGGGAGAGAAGGGAAUUUAUGGUGCCAUUUACCAUGGCAAAUACACCUCUUCACUCUUCCCUCUUUUUCAUUGCCUCAAUGUGUGGGAGAGCAGGAACUGAGAACCAGGCUCAAAUACAAGAGGUCAAGAGUUCUCAAUCCAUAUACCUUCCCUCUGCUUAGGGAGGCAAUGGGCUUCUGUGACACCAGGACAAGAAAUGUAGUGAACUCCCUAAGGGUUGUUUGUCAAGCCAUCGUUUGUUGUGAUCUGCUCCACUCUUUGUUGUCUCUACUUCCCUGGGGGUAGGUCUCCAGCAGUGAGAUCAUUAUUUCAUGCAGCAGGGACAGUCAUCUGAUGCAGGCAUUGGAUAUUGACAUGCAACAAUCACCCCCAAAUUUAGUGGCAUGGAGCAAAAGCCAUUUUAUUAUGCUCACAAUGGCUUGGCUCAGCUCUGUGACUGUAGGGGCUUUGGAUGGGAAGAUAAAUGCCCAGGGGCCACUCAGAUGGCUGGGGCUGGAAUCAUCCAAAGGCUUCCUUACUCACAUGUCUGGCACCUGGGCUGGGAAGACUUAAAGGCUUGGCUCAGCUGAAAUUCUUGCUGGAGUGUCUGCAUGAUCUUUCCACAUAGCAUGGGCUUCCUCACAGCAUGGCAGCCUCAGGAUGGUUGAAAUUUUUAUAUGACAGGUCAGGAUCUUCCAGAAAAUAAGCCAGAGACUGUGUGGCCUUCUAUAACUCAGCCUCGAAAGUCAUAUGACCUCACUUUUGCCAUACUCCAUUGAUUAGGGCCAUCACAAGCUUGCUCAGACUCAAGGGGAGGGGACAUAGACCCUACAUUCUCUAUGGGAGGAAUGCUGAAUCAUCUGCAGUCUUAGUUUGAAACUGGCACACCAAGCCAUGCCAGCCAAUCACUCUCUAUGAAAUCUGCAGUCGGGAUAGAGUUGCAUCUGGUUAGUCUCUGUAGGUUUGGGAUUUGGAACAGGUAAGCAUGGGAGGUGAAGGGCAAGCCAAGAAGGCCAGUCCACAGAGAGGAAGAAGCCACCACUGCUUGGUUACUAGCUGCCUUGUCCUUCCUGCCUCUGGUUCCUUGUCAAGGCCUAGCCAUAGCUCUGCCC